CAGCCGCCGCGGUAAUACAGAGGGUGCGAGCGUUAAUCGGAUUUACUGGGCGUAAAGCGUGCGUAGGCGGCUUCUUAAGUCGGAUGUGAAAUCCCUGAGCUUAACUUAGGAAUUGCAUUCGAUACUGGGAAGCUAGAGUAUGGGAGAUGAUGGUAGAAUUCCAGGUGUAGCGGUGAAAUGCGUAGAGAUCUGGAGGAAUACCGAUGGCGAAGGCAGCCAUCUGGCCUAAUACUGACGCUGAGGUACGAAAGCAUGGGGAGCAAACAGGAUUAGAUACCCCAGUAGUCCCUGUCUCUUAUAC
rnacentral:rRNA from 1 species